rnacentral:rRNA from 1 species
UACGGGGGGGGCAAGCGUUGUUCGGAAUUACUGGGCGUAAAGGGCUCGUAGGCGGCCAACUAAGUCAGACGUGAAAUCCCUCGGCUUAACCGGGGAACUGCGUCUGAUACUGGAUGGCUUGAGUUCGGGAGAGGGAUGCGGAAUUCCAGGUGUAGCGGUGAAAUGCGUAGAUAUCUGGAGGACCACCGGUGGCGAAGGCGGCAUCCUGGACCGACACUGACGCUGAGGAGCGAAAGCCAGGGGAGCAAACGGG